AGAUGCGAUCAUACCAGCACUAAUGUACCGGAUUCCAUUAGAACUUCGCAGUUAAGGGUGCUUGGGCGAGAGUAGUACUAGGAUGGAUUACCUCCCGGAAAGUCCUCGUGUUGCAUCCC
rnacentral:rRNA from 1 species